rnacentral:rRNA from 1 species
AUGGCGGAGCUAGUGGUCACCAUGGCACUCCGGCCACUGGUUGCCAUGCUCAGGGACAAGGCGUCCAGCUAUCUCCUCGACCAGUACAAUGUGAUGGAGGGAAUGGAGGAGCAGCACAGGACUCUGAAACGCAGACUUCCUAUCAUCCUGGACGUCAUCACCGAUGCCGAGGAGCAGGCGACGGCCAACAGAGAAGGGGCGAAAGCCUGGCUCCAGGAGCUCAAGAGAGUAGCCUAUGAGGCAAAUGAAGUCUUCGAUGAAUUCAAAUACGAAGCACUUCGCCGUGAAGCCAGGAAGAAUGGACACUACAAAAAGCUUGGAUUUGAUGUGAUAAAACUCUUCCCUACUCACAACCGUGUUGUGUUCCGUCACAGAAUGGGUAGCAAGCUUUGCAGGAUUCUGGAGGAUAUCAAUGUCCUCAUUGCAGAGAUGCAUGACUUUGGGUUGAGGCAGACAUUCUUGGUGUCCAAUCAGUUAGGGCAGACUCCGGUGUCCAAGGAGUGGAGGCAGACAGAUUAUGUCAUCAUCGACCCACAAGAAAUUGCCAGAAGAUCCAGACACGAAGAUAAGAAUAAUAUCAUCGACAUACUACUUGGUCAAGCUAGCAAUGGAGAUCUCGCAGUAGUUCCCAUUGUUGGAAUGGGGGGCCUUGGAAAGACCACAUUAGCGCAACUCAUAUACAAUGAACCUGAAAUUCAGAAGCAUUUUCCAUUGCAGCUCUGGGUCUGCAUCUCUGAUACCUUUGAUGUGAAUUCAGUGGCUAAGAGUAUAGUUGAAGCAUCCCCCAAGAAAAAUGAUGAUACAGACAAACCAGCACUGGAUAGACUUCAAAAACUGGUCAGCGGGCAGAGGUAUCUCCUUGUAUUGGAUGAUGUCUGGAACAGAGAGGUCCACAAGUGGGAAAGGCUGAAGGUCUGUCUUCAGCAUGGUGGCAUGGGUAGUGCAGUGUUGACAACAACCCGUGAUAAACAAGUUGCUGAAAUUAUGGGCGCAGAUAGAACCUACAAUCUUAAUGUUUUGAAGGAUAACUUCAUAAAGGAAAUUAUUGUGGCUAAAGCAUUCAGUUCAGAGAAUGAAAAGCCUCCCGAGCUACUCGAGAUGGUUGGUGAGAUUGCAAAGAGAUGCCGUGGCUCUCCUCUAGCUGCAACUGCACUGGGAUCUGUACUUCGUACCAAGACCAGCGUGGAAGAAUGGAAGGCUUUAUUAUCUAGAAGCAGUAUUUGCACUGAGGAAACUGGAAUUUUGCCAAUACUCAAGCUUAGCUACAACGAUUUGCCCGCACACAUGAAGCAGUGCUUUGCUUUCUGUGCCAUAUUUCCCAAGGAUUACAAGAUUAAUGUGGAGAAGCUUAUCCAACUAUGGAUCGCAAAUGCCUUUAUACCAGAACAGGAGGAAGAUAGUCUUGAAACCGUUGGAAAACAUAUUUUCAGUGAGCUAGCAUCGAGGUCAUUCUUUCUGGACAUAGAGGAAUUUAAGGGUGACAUGGAAAAUCAGCAGUAUUGUUUCAGAACUACAUGCAAAAUUCAUGAUCUUAUGCAUGAUAUUGCAAUGUCUGUUAUGGGAAAGGAAUGUGUCGUUGCAAUUAAGGAGCCCCAAAUUGAGUGGCUUUCGGAUACUGCUCGGCAUUUGUUCUUGUCAUGUGAUGAAACAGAAGGUAUUUUGAAUGAUUCUUUGGAGAAAAAGUCCCCUGCCAUUCAAACACUGAUAUGCGAUAGUCCUAUUCAAAGCUCAUUGAAGCAUCUAUCAAAAUAUAGCUCUUUGCAUGCCUUGAAGCUCUGUCUGAGAACUGAAUCAUUUCUACUCAAACCAAAGUAUCUGCAUCACCUGAGGUACCUUGAUCUCUCAGAAAGUUAUAUCGAAGCACUUCCUGAGGAUAUAAGUAUUCUAUAUAACCUGCAAGUGUUGGACGUUUCCAACUGCCGUUCUCUUGAACGACUUCCAAGGCAAAUGAAGUAUAUGACUUCCCUCUGCCACCUCUACACUCAUGGAUGUUCGAAGUUGAAGAGCAUGCCUCCAGGACUUGAAAAUCUCACUAAGCUGCAGACACUCACAGUUUUUGUAGCAGGAGUUCCUGGCCCUGAUUGCGCUGAUGUUGGAGAGCUGCAUGGUCUAAACAUUGGUGGUCAGCUAGAACUAUGCCAGGUAGAGAAUGUUGAAAAAGCAGAUGCAAAAGUGGCAAACCUUGGUGGUCAGCUAGAGCUACGCCGAGUAGAGAAUGUUAAAAAAGCAGAGGCAAAAGUGGCGAAUCUUGGAAACAAGAAGGAUCUCCAUAAACUGACAUUAAGAUGGACUGAGGUUGGCGACAGCAAGGUGCUCGACAAGUUCGAACCUCAUGGUGGGCUGCAGGUUCUAAAGAUAUAUUCCUAUGGAGGAGAGUGCAUGGGUAUGCUGCAAAACAUGGUUGAGAUCCAUCUUUUUGAUUGUGAAAGAUUGCAAAUUUUGUUUAGAUGCAGUGCAAUCUUCACUUUUCCAAAACUGAAGGUGCUUAUACUAGAACAUUUGUUGGGUUUUGAGAGAUGGUGGCAAAUAGAUGAGAGGCAAGAAGAACAGACUAUAUUUCCUGUGCUUGAGAAGUUGUUAAUUAGGAAUUGUGGAAAGUUGGUAGCAUUACCCGAAGCACGAUUGCUGCAAGGACCUUGUGGUGAAGGUGGUUAUACAUUGGUAUGCUCAGCGUUUCCUGCCCUAAAGGUACUGAAAAUGAAAGAGUUGGAGAGCUUUCGGAGAUGGGAUGCAGUCGAAGAAACUCAAGGAGAACAGAUAUUGUUUCCUCGGCUUGAGAAACUAUCGGUUAAGGAUUGUCCACAACUGAUAGAUUUACCUGAAGCACCAUUGCUUCAAGAACCAUGUAGUGAAGGUGGUUAUAGCUUGGUACGUUCAGCCUUUCCUGCCUUAAAGGUGCUCAAAAUGAAAUGCUUGGGGAGCUUUCAGAGAUGGGAUGCAGUUGAAGGGACAUUGUUUCCUGAGCUUGAGAAACUGUCAGUCCAGAAAUGCCCAAAACUGGUAGCAUUGCCCAAAGCACCAAAACUCAGUUUAUUCGAAAUUGAAGAUGGGAAGCAAGAGAUCUUCCACUGUGUAGACAGGUAUUUGUCUUCAUUGACCAAGCUGACACUGAAGCUAGAACACACAGAAACAACAUCAGAGUCUGAAUGCACUUCAAUUGUACUGGUCGACAGCAAAGAGAAAUGGAACCAGAAAUCCCCACUUACAGUUAUGGAGUUAGGACGCUGCAACUCAUUCUUUGGAGCGGGUGCACUAGAGCCGUGGGACUAUUUUGUACAUCUUGGAGAGCUGGUAAUUAACAGAUGCGAUGUGCUCGUCCACUGGCCAGAGAAAGUGUUCCAAAGCUUGGUAUCCUUGAAGAGGUUACAGAUUAGUGACUGCAAAAAUCUGACUGGAUAUGCAGAAGCUCUUCUUGAGCCGUCAGCAUCCAGAAGGAGUCGACACCUGCCAGGUCUGGAGUCCUUUAAUUUAUAUGGUUGUGUAAAUUUAGUAGAGAUGUUCAACGUCCCGACAUCUCUCAAGAAAAUGGAUAUUGAUCAGUGCAUUAAGCUUGAGUCCAUAUUCAGCAAGCAGCAUGGCAUGGCAGAGUUAGUCCAAGGAUCUUCUAGCAGUGAGGCAGUCAUGCCUGCAGCUGUAUCAGAGUUGUCAUCUUCACCCAUGAAUCACUUUUGUCCAUGCCUAGAAUAUCUGACUUUAGUUGGAUGUGGAAGCUUACAAGCGGUUCUGAACCUUCCUCCGUCUUUAAAGUACAUUCGUAUUGCUAGCUGUAGUAGUAUUCAAGUCCUAUCAUGCCAGCUGGGUGGGCUCCAGAAACCAGAAGUCACUACCUCCAUAAGCAGAAGUCCUAUCAUGCCACAGCCACCAGCAGCAGCAACACCAACUGCAAGAGAGCAUUUACUUCCUCCCCAUCUCGAAUCUCUAGUAAUAGUGGACUGUGCUGGCAUGUUGGGUGGGACUCUCCGUCUACCUGCACCCCUCAAGGGACCGCAGAUUAUGGGAAACAGUGGGCUGACAUCGCUGGAGUGUCUGUCGGGAGAGCACCCCCCAUCGCUGGAUGUCCUUCUUCUUGAAAGAUGCAGUACCCUGGCAUCCCUGCCGAAUGAGCCGCAAGUAUACAGGUCUCUCGUGUAUCUUCAAAUUAGAGGCUGCCCUGCUAUAAAGAAGCUCCCUAGAUGCCUGCAGCAGCAACUGGGCAGCAUCAGCCGCAAACGACUAGAUGCCUGCUAUGAAGUAACAGCAUUUAAACCGAAGACAUGGAGUGAAAUACCAAGGCUGGUUCGAGAGCGGAGGCAGGCCACUCGAGAAGCCAAGAAACUCCGGCAGUCCAUGCAGGAGUAA